UAAAAACUCCGGUGGUUCAAGAUGUGCAUGCGUUGUAUUAGUUAGUUGGUGAGGUAACGGCUCACCAAGGCUACGAUACAUAGGGGGACUGAGAGGUUAACCCCCCACACUGGUACUGAGACACGGACCAGACUCCUACGGGAGGCAGCAGUGAGGAAUAUUGGUCAAUGGGCGCAAGCCUGAACCAGCCAUGCCGCGUGCAGGAAGACGGCUCUAUGAGUUGUAAACUGCUUUUGUAAGUGGAUAACACCGGGUACGAGUACCCGGCUGAAGGUAACUUACGAAUAAGGACCGGCUAACUCCGUGCCAGCAGCCGCGGUAAUACGGAGGGUCCAAGCGUUAUCCGGAUUUAUUGGGUUUAAAGGGUGCGUAGGCGGUUUAGUAAGUUAGAGGUGAAAUCCCGUGGCUCAACCACGGAACUGCCUCUGAUACUGCUAGGCUAGAGAUUAGAUGCGGUAGGCGGAAUGUGUGGUGUAGCGGUGAAAUGCUUAGAGAUCACACAGAACACCGAUUGCGAAGGCAGCUUACCAAUCUAUGUCUGACGUUGAGGCACGAAAGCGUGGGUAGCAAACAGGAUUAGAUACCCUGGUAGUCCACGCAGUAAACGAUGAUAACUCGUUGUCGGCGAUACACAGUCGGUGACCAAGCGAAAGCGAUAAGUUAUCCACCUGGGGAGUACGU
rnacentral:rRNA from 1 species